rnacentral:snRNA from 1 species
GUGCUCCCCUUGGCACCAUAUAUGCUCAAAUUGCAAUAAUACCAAGAAGAGCAGCAUGGCCCCUGUGCAAAAGCAUGAAGCAUUUAAUAUUUUU